UGAAGGGGCAACAGGCUGUCAACAGUGGCAGUAGCUGGGGGCUCCCAUCUACUCAAAAGCCACAGAAAGUCUUUUCAUACUGCCUGAGGAAUUAAUCCCUUCUUUAACAUUCAUAAUUGCUGGAUCGAUUUAACAGGACUGGAGCUAACAUUUGCUUGGAUUUGGCACCAUUGAUAGGGAACUGCCUGCUGCGUCCUCCGCUUUGAAGUCACCCUGGUCUUUGGGCCUCCAGCACCUUCUUCAGCAUGUCCAACCCAUCUAAGAGGCGUAUGAUACUGGUGUUCCACUGGGUUAGAAAGAAGCCCCUGACAGAGAAGCUGUGCUCUACCAUCUCGGCCAGACCUUCUGCCUCUGCACCGGCUUGCAACACUCCUCACAUUUCACCUGCUUCACGAGGAGCAAGACACAACCCGCUCUGCUCAGGAGGUCCAGCAGGCGCAAGGUGCUGCGAUUGCCGAAUCUCACCGACCCCAAGUUUUUAAGAUCUGUCAUUGGCACCGUUGGCUGGAAGAGAGCCCACAGGCGUAGCAAGCAAAAGAAGACUCCAGCGGGAACAGGAAAAGGGGUGAGGGCUAGGCUAGAGGCAAGAAGGCUCCAAAGCUAUUUGCGGGGUGGGAUUGCUUUGGAAGAUGCCUUCUCACAAUCUCUACCCUUGAACCACGUAAGAACAUCAGAAGCGUCUGCUGGAUGAGGCCACAUUGGCCUGUCUAGUCCAGCACCCUGUUCUCACAGUGGCCAACCAGAGGCCUGUGGAAACAAGAGCAUUCUGUAUUCCCUUCCUGCAUCUUCCAGCAACUACUAUUCACAAAGGUUACUGCCACUGACUGUGGAGGUAGAGCAUAGCCAUUGUGCCUAGUGGCCAUUGAUAGCCUUUCCUGCAUAAAAGGAUCCAAGUUGGUGGCUGUCCCAGCUUUCUGUGGGAUUGAGCUUCCAGAGGGGUAGCUGAGCAUGCCUGCUGCAGGAAAAACAGGCAUUAAAAGCACAUUUCUCCCAAAGAAUCCUGGGAAUUGCAGUUUGUAAAGGGUGCUACAACAGUUCCCAGGAUUCUUACAGGGGAGAAGCGAUAAUGUUUUUAAUGUAUGGUGUGUACACAGCCUCAAAUUAGCUCCAUCAGCUCUGUAAUACUAGAGCAAAGAUAAUGCAUAUUGUUGUUGUUGUACUUUUAUAAAUAUUAUAAAACCCAUUCCUGCAAGCCAUGUAGUCUGGAAUAAACCCAGUCACCCCUCCCAUCAUUAAUUGUUUCUACUAGGUGGGGAGGGGUGUUGGAUCUGCUUCCCUGCCUUGAAGAAAGGCGCAGGUCAGAUGUGUGCCCAGACCUGGCCACGCUUCGCAAGAAAGGUGUGUUGGUUCAAGGUGGCCACGCGGCCUGCAACUUGCACUCCUUCCUGACGUGUCUUCCCCAAACCCCUUCUUCCAGAGGCUGUGUUGAAGUUUUCCAUCAUGUGGAACACAAACUGGCGGAACUACCUCGAGGCUCAGGCAGUGGUGGAAACCUUCCUCAAGCAUGAGACGCCAGAGAGCCUCUUGCAAUACGAAGGGAUCAAAGCAGCUGUGGAGUCUCUCCUACCAUACACGGCACUUCCAGAGGCUGGGCCGGUUACUGCAGGCCUCCAUGUUCCUUGAUUUUAUGUGACAAAAUGUGAAGUUGCCUGACGCCGCCAAGUGGGACGAGGAGAUGGACACGUGAUGAGCUUUCUUUAUUUAUUAUUAAUUUUAUUGAGUACAAAUUAGAAAAAAAUACAAAUAUACUAAAAAAGGAAGACACAUGUAACCAAUAAAAAAUUAGAAAACAUUUUACCUCUUCUGAUAUUUACAAUUAUUUGCACCUCUACAAAACAAUAUUCACAAUAAAGACAAGAAAUGAAAGGUAAAAUAUAAAAGAAAAGAACAAGAAGAAGAUAAAGAAAAGAAGAAGAUAAAGAAUAAGAUCAAGAUUGAGAAUUUUAAAAGUAGAUAAGUAUUCACUAUACACAGCCAUUUCCAAUCUAUAUUUAUGUUCAGUUAUGUAUUUUCAUCAUAUCCUUAUCUAUCUUAAUUAAAAUAUUUUUAAAAGACUUCCUCCGUUUACCUCACGCGUUUUUGAUAGUCCAUUUGUCAAAACUUCUGUUCUUCAUAUUUUUCCUUUGGGCUGCGCUCCGAAGGCUUCAGGGAUCUUUGAGGCUGGCGGUGGGGCAAAGCAGCGCUUCCCCCCCACUGCCAGCCCCACAAGCUUGGGGGGCAGUGGGAAGGUGGCGCACAGCCUUUGCGCUGCUCCCCGACCUGGUCUUUGAGGCUGGCAGUGGGGAAAGCAGCGCUUCCCCCCACCGCCAGCCCCACAAGCUCGGGGGGC